AGAGUUUGAUCCUGGCUCAGGACGAACGCUGGCGGCGUGCUUAACACAUGCAAGUCGAACGAUGAAGCCCAGCUUGCUGGGUGGAUUAGUGGCGAACGGGUGAGUAACACGUGAGCAACGUGCCCAUAACUCUGGGAUAACCUCCGGAAACGGUGGCUAAUACUGGAUAUCUGACAUGAUCGCAUGGUCUGUGUUUGGAAAGAUUUUUUGGUUAUGGAUCGGCUCACGGCCUAUCAGCUUGUUGGUGAGGUAAUGGCUCACCAAGGCGACGACGGGUAGCCGGCCUGAGAGGGUGACCGGCCACACUGGGACUGAGACACGGCCCAGACUCCUACGGGAGGCAGCAGUGGGGAAUAUUGCACAAUGGGCGAAAGCCUGAUGCAGCAACGCCGCGUGAGGGAUGACGGCCUUCGGGUUGUAAACCUCUUUUAGUAGGGAAGAAGCGAAAGUGACGGUACCUGCAGAAAAAGCACCGGCUAACUACGUGCCAGCAGCCGCGGUAAUACGUAGGGUGCAAGCGUUGUCCGGAAUUAUUGGGCGUAAAGAGCUCGUAGGCGGUUUGUCGCGUCUGCUGUGAAAUCCCGAGGCUCAACCUCGGGUCUGCAGUGGGUACGGGCAGACUAGAGUGUGGUAGGGGAGAUUGGAAUUCCUGGUGUAGCGGUGGAAUGCGCAGAUAUCAGGAGGAACACCCGAUGGCGAAGGCAGAUCUCUGGGCCAUUACUGACGCUGAGGAGCGAAAGCAUGGGGAGCGAACAGGAUUAGAUACCCUGGUAGUCCAUGCCGUAAACGUUGGGCGCUAGAUGUGGGGACCAUUCCACGGUUUCCGUGUCGUAGCUAACGCAUUAAGCGCCCCGCCUGGGGAGUACGGCCCGCCAAGGCUAAAACUCAAAGGAAUUGACGG
rnacentral:rRNA from 1 species